UGGUUCAUUCAGUUUCUAGUUACAACUUAGAAAUUUUAAAAUUAGUGAGUAGAAUGUAGUUCUAGUUUGGAUUAGCUCCUAAGUCGUGAGAGUUUUACUUAAAACUCUUAUAUUAUACUUUUUUAGUACUGGAAGGCAAAUUUCUGUUAAGUUUAUAGGCGCUUAUUCAGAAGUUAUAUGAAAGAGUUUGGGUGUACUUGAUGAGAAGUUAAUUCAAAUUAGUUCUUACCUAUGAAGAUUAUUUUUUCCUACUUUAUUGGCUAUGUUUGCUCAUGUACCUCAUUAUUGCAGGUAUCUCUUAUGCUACUCUUAUGCUCAUAAUGUAGCACCCAAAGGAAAAUUUAUCGCUUUUGUUACAACAGAAGUAGAGACCGACCAAC
rnacentral:lncRNA from 1 species